rnacentral:snRNA from 1 species
AUGUGAAAGUCAUCUGGCUUAGACAUCUGUCACCCACUGAUCAACAGCAAUGAUUCCUAGCCUAAUGUCCCCUUCCUCCCACACUACUCCAGCUCCAAGUGUAUGUGUCCUUCCUGAAGCUGCACAAUCAGUUGAAAAGGCUAGAUGACCUCAGCUAAAGGAGGACCAGCCUCUGAUUAAGGGUACGAGUAGUUGUGCUCACCUACGAGACAAGUUCCAAGUAAGCUGUUAGGGAGUUUAUGCAACAGUUAGUGCAACAGUGGCAAGUGCAGAUGUCU